AGAGUUUGUAGUCCUGGCGUCAGGAUGAACGCUAGCGGAGGCCUAACACAUGCAAGCCGAGCGGUAUUGUUCUUCGGAAAUGAGAGAGCGGCGUACGGGUGCGGAACACGUGUGCAACCUGCCUUUAUCUGGGGGAGUAGCCUUUCGUAAAGGAAGAUUAAUACUCCAUAACAUAUUGAUUGGCAUCAAUUAAUAUUGAAAGCUCCGGCGGAUAGAGAUGGGCACGCGCAAGAUUAGCUAGUUGGUGAGGUAACGGCUCACCAAGGCGAUGAUCUUUAGGGGGCCUGAGAGGGUGAUCCCCCACACUGGUACUGAGACACGGACCAGACUCCUACGGGAGGCAGCAGUGAGGAAUAUUGGUCAAUGGGUGCAAGCCUGAACCAGCCAUCCCGCGUGAAGGACGACUGCCCUAUGGGUUGUAAACUUCUUUUGUAUAGGGAUAAACCUACCCUCGUGAGGGUAGCUGAAGGUACUAUACGAAUAAGCGCCGGCUAACUCCGUG
rnacentral:rRNA from 1 species